CUUGCCUGUUUCUCACUUUAGCGCGGCCCAAAUCAUCAAUUCGGCUUCACUGAUGUUGUUCUGACCAAAUGCAAAAGCAAGAACAAGAACAUGAAAGCAUGCAAGUGGGAAGAAGUAACUUGUUCUUUUAAAGUCACGGAUUUUCAUAAAGGGAAAAAGGCUUGCCACCUCGAUUCGUUGAUAUGUAGAUUUACAACAUGAGACAACAAACCAGACGAAAGUAUGUGCAAACAUUUCGGGCCUGAAAUAAAAUCGUGUUUUAUAAAUGUUUGUAUCGCAUUUAAUUUUGCCGAAAACUGUGAAAAGAAAAUGUAUGCAUUAAAGAAUAAUAAAACCAGGUCAAAAAUAU